GUUUGAAGCUGGUGUCUGAAACUUGUUUUUAUUAAAGAUGGAAAUUCACUGAAUAGGCAGAUGGACUUGAAGGCCUUUACACUGCUUUUGAGAUCAAGAUGCUGGAUUUCAGCAGAUUCCCUGUCACCAAGAAUCCAGCAAUCCAUUGUGGGAGACCAACACUUACAACUGUACUUCUUUAUGAGAUGGGGAACUUGAUCUGCCUGAAUGGGUGAAGGAAGGCAUCUUGGAGGAAGUGAUCCUUGAGAUGAUCCAUGAAAAAGGAGCAGGAAUUUUUCAAGUGAGU
ensembl:lncRNA